UACGGAGGGAGCUAGCGUUGUUCGGAAUUACUGGGCGUAAAGCGCACGUAGGCGGCUUUGUAAGUUAGAGGUGAAAGCCCGGAGCUCAACUCCGGAAUUGCCUUUAAGACUGCAUCGCUUGAAUCCGGGAGAGGUGAGUGGAAUUCCGAGUGUAGAGGUGAAAUUCGUAGAUAUUCGGAAGAACACCAGUGGCGAAGGCGGCUCACUGGACCGGUAUUGACGCUGAGGUGCGAAAGCGUGGGGAGCAAACAGGAUUAGAUACCCCCGUAGUCC
rnacentral:rRNA from 1 species